UAAAGUUGUUGCAGUUAAAAAGCUCGUAGUUGAAUUUUAGGCCUGACCGGAUGGUCCGUCUUUGGCGAGUACUGUUCUGUCGUCGGGUCUAUCCUUCUGGUGAGCCGGGAUGCCCUUUAUUGGGUGUGUCGGGGAACCAGGACCAUUACCUUGAAAAAAUUAGAGUGUUUAAAGCGGGCAUUUGCUUGAAUAGAUUAGCAUGGAAUAAUAGAAUAGGACGUUGGUUCUAUUUUGUUGGUUUUAGGACCACCGUAAUGAUUAAUAGGG
rnacentral:rRNA from 1 species